GGUGGGGUGCGAGAGCGGUUGAAUCGGUACGCUUGGAGAGCGUAAAACCUCGCAAGAGGUUCGCGGGUUCGAAUCCCGCCCCCACCG
rnacentral:tRNA from 1 species